UCUGUUAAUGUGUGUGUGUUUUGUUAGUGUGUUUGUCUGACUGUGUCUGUGAGUGUAUGUGUUUGCCAGUGAGUGUGUGUCUGUUAAUGUGUGUGUGUUUGUUAGUGUGUGUCUGACUGUGUCUGUGAGUGUGUGUGUUUGCCAGUGAGUGUGUGUCUGUUAAUGUGUGUGUGUGUUUGUUAGUGUGUUUGUCUGACUGUGUUUGUCUGUUAGUUUGUGUGUUUGCCAGUGAGUGUGUGUCUGUUAAUGUGUGUAUGUUUGUUAGUGUGUGUGUCUGACUGUGUUUGUCUGUUAGUGUGUAUGUGUGUGUCUGACUGUGUCAGUGAGUGUGUGUCUGUUAGUGAG